GACGAACGCUGGCGGCGUGCCUAAUACAUGCAAGUCGAGCGAAGUUUUUCUGGUGCUUGCACUAGAAAAACUUAGCGGCGAACGGGUGAGUAACACGUAAAGAACCUGCCUCAUAGACUGGGACAACUAUUGGAAACGAUAGCUAAUACUGGAUAACAGUAUUUCUCGCAUGAGAGAUAUUUAAAAGUUGGUUAUGCUAACACUAUGAGAUGGCUUUGCGGUGCAUUAGCUAGUUGGUGGGGUAAAGGCCCACCAAGGCGACGAUGCAUAGCCGACCUGAGAGGGUGAUCGGCCACACUGGGACUGAGACACGGCCCAGACUCCUACGGGAGGCAGCAGUAGGGAAUCUUCCGCAAUGGGCGAAAGCCUGACGGAGCAACGCCGCGUGAGUGAAGAAGGAUUUCGGUUCGUAAAGCUCUGUUGUUAGGGAAGAAUGGAUAUGUAGUAACUAUACAUGUAAGAGACGGUACCUAACCAGAAAGCCACGGCUAACUACGUG
rnacentral:rRNA from 1 species